UGCCCCGCCCCGGGGCCCGCCAUUGCCCACCGGGUGGCGUGAGGGGCCGGCCGACGAGCCGGGGUCGGCUACACCCGCGCGCUCCGCUGAGCUGUUCGUUGCGGCCACCCUGUCCCGAGGCCGGCGGUUUAUGUUGCCUCAGCACCUUCUCCUGGCGAUCACCUUCUCUUCGUGAAAGGGGAUGGCCGGAUGAGCUGCUCCCCUGAGGAGCUCGCUCCGCAGUUAACGGCUGCCCCAGCCUCCAGUGGACGAGCUCGGCCCCGUAGGGGUGUGUGUGUGAUGGGAUGUGGUGACAGUAGGCCCAAGUGUUGGCCAAGUGUCGCAGCAGCCCUGGAAGCCAUCUGUGGGGCAGUUUUCCCCCUCUUCCAGCAGUUACCAUUAUCCCGUUUGCUCUGGGCCACAGAAGGUGCUGCUCCUUCAGCUCCCAUCAAGGAGGUUGGCUGUUGCCCACACCAACUGCAUGCCUGUGGCCUGCAAUGGAUGACACCAUGAUCCUUGUGCUGCUACCAUGAGUCUUUUUGUGGCAGCGUUCAUCCCUGUAGAUCUAGGUAAUUCCAGCCUCCGAUGCAGAAUUCAGUACCCAAAAUCAUGCUGCCACCCUUGCCAGCCUGAUGGCCCGAGCUGCUCCGUUCCUCAGUGUGGCGUUUCGCUAAGGUUAACGCCUCGCAGUUACCACCCGACAAGCAAAACAUCUGUUCAAACACAGCAGGUUCAAACACCUCCCUCCGUACUGAAGCAGAGAGCAUGAGAGUUGGCUCUCGAAGAGGCCUUGACAUGGGACAAGCACAGGCUGGUACAAAAGGACUUUGAGCUGUUUGCAGACGGAGCUGGUUGUCGCUGAAACUUAAAUUCUAAAAUGUCCAGCACUGCCUUUUUGUGCAUAAGGAAGGCUCAGCACACCAUAAAUGAUUUUCCUGUGUUCACUGAGACUGUACCUCAGCAGCGGAUUCAGAUGAAUUGCGAACGGAAAGGCCCGUUAUCCCUAAGUGGAAACGCCUGCGUUCCUCCAGGCAGGCGCACUGCAAGGUGUGUUUCAAGCCAAAGGCAUCAGCCGUCGCUGUGAGGAUACAAACAGGUUUAUCACCCCACACUUCUGGGCUAACACUCCCCAUCCCAGUGAGACUUGAGAGAUGCCCACAUGUCGGGACGGGCUUCCUGAAUCGGUGUAAAACCCCAGUGACUGUUCUUUGUUUCGAGCAGCAGUCAGACACUUGGGAUACUGAAGGGAAUAACCCCAAACCCAGUCAGCUGCUCCUUUGGCUGUGCCAUUAAUGUAUCGUGGAAUAACCCAGUACUUAGGCCUGAUUCUUUCUGAAAUAUAUAUCCCACUAGAUGUGUGUAUUUACACUUUUAAACGAGUAAUUGGCAGGAAAGAUCAUUGCCAGCUAGCGGAAAACACCGAACAACAGAAUAACAAUCAUGUGCUACUCUUAAUAGCAGGUCACCUGCUCUCUGCUGGAAGGUGAGGCCUAACUGCACCGAGCUAAGCCUGGGCAACAAUAAUAGAGUCUUUGUUGAAAUACCACCGCAUUGUUCAAAGGCUGGUGAGCCAACCCAGGGAAAACAAAAGGAAACGUUUCUAGCCCUUAAAAAUCACAGCAGAAUCACAGAGGUUGGCAGCAAAACAAGUCAGUCAUGCACAGAAUUUAAAAAAAAAAAGCCAACAGCGGCUUUUCUGUCGUGCAACUAAUAAAGAUUAUUCU